CUGUUUUUCAUCAACUUUAUGGUAAUGUUCCCCUCUCUCUCUUGCUCCCUAUUCCUCUCUCUCUUGCUCCCUAUUCCUCUCUCUCUCUCUCUCCCUCUCCUCUCCCUCUCCCUCUCUCCCUCUCUCUCUCUCUCUCUCUCUCUCUCUCUCUCUCUCUCUCUCUCUCUCUCUCUCUCUCUCUCUCAUGUUCCUCCCAGCUCUGCCAGUGCAGUCCAAGCUGCUCUGCAAACGUCAGCCACAGACCCUCUCUCUCUCUCUCUUCUCUCACAUCAGCCGCUCUUCCUCUCUUAAGGUAGGAAACUCUACUAGUCUAACUAACUCUAACUAGUAUAAACUUCAAGCUGUACCGGUCAACCACUGAGCAAUACGCGAAUCAUUCACAAUCGAACAAAAGGAAAACAUUAUCCAACCUAAUCGAACAAACAACAUUAGAAUAGUCUACAUCUGAAAAAUGAGAAAUUGAGGUCAAUGACGGAAGUAUGCGCACGUGAGGUGACCACGCCCCUCUUUCCAUGCCCUGAAGCAGCGCGCCAUUUUGUUCAUCUUCUGCCUGCAGCGAGCGACUUCAAUUUACUCUCGAGUCUACUCAGACGCUUCAUAAAAGGUACUACACGAUAUCACUGCCUUGCAGCUGACCAAACUGGAUGUCACAGACAAGACCAUCUGGCUCAGCCCACAAAACAUCGGCAUUGAUCUAGGUGCAGAGUCAGUCCUUUAGGUAGUGUGAUGUUUUCAAAAGAUAAUUUUACAAAUGGUUAGGGUGAACCAGGUGUCAUUGAAGACAUGUUCUAUAUUCAUGGCUAAUUUCUCUCUCUAGAGAAUCAAAGGUGCAGAGCUCUCGAGUUCAAGAGAGAGUGCAUGCAGGGACUGAGUAACAUGAUCAAGAAAGUGCAGGACAAGAGCCCCCUCAAGUAUCUGACUGUUAGGCAGAUGGUGUGCCUGGAUCCGUCAGUAAUGUAUAGAGAACCAGAAAGAGGCAGGAAUCACAUGAAAGGGCUGGUUCAAAGGUUUCUCCAGGACAAACAGCUUACUGAUACUUCUUCGGGGGAUGUCAUACUGCAGCAGUUUGACAGUCUCCUGUCCUUGGAGAGCCGGAGUGAGGACUUCCUCUCCUUUCAACCCAUGCAGAAGAGGCUGGACAUCUUCCUGAGCAGCGCCAUGGAGCCUUAUCCCGAGCUGUGGGCCUUCUGCAAGAAGCUGCUCAUCCUCUCCCACGGUCAAGCUGCAGUUGAGCGUGGAUUCUCAAUCAAUAAAGAGGUGGAGUCUGAUAACUUGGCGGAGGAUACUGUGGUCACACGGAGACUGGUGUGUGACUACAUCAUACAACAUGGAGGUGUUACCAAGGUUCCACUCAGUAAACCGCUACUGGAAAGUGUAGCAAGGGCAAGGACAAGGUUUCGUACCCAUCUGGAGACCAAAAGAAGGAACAGGGAGGCAAAAGACCAGGCUCUCAAGAGGAGGGAAGCAGAGGACUGUCUUGAGGAGCUGAAGGUUAAGAGGAGACGUGUACAGGAGGUAUCUGAGGGUCUGGCUAGGGAUGCGGACAAGAUGGCUGAGGAGGCUGAAGCGAAGGCAGGGAGCAAGAUGGCUGGCCUGAUCACCAGGUCAAACAUCCUGCGGAGAGGCCAUAAGGAGAAGUUGGCAGAACUGGCUCUCCUUGAUAAAGAGAUCGCUGCUAAGAGUGCAGAGCUUAGGAGUUGACUGUGUGAUCAUAAUUUUAUUUAUUGUUGAGUUGAUUUUCAUUGUUUAUUGUUAAGGAGUCUGUGCUGUUGGCGUAAGUACUCACCACUAUGCUGCAAUAUUCCAUCAUUCCAUAAUGCUUUACAGUCCACAUUUUCACAUUUGUUGAAAUAAAUGACCAAAUUUUGAACAAACGUUGUCGGUAGGUCUGUAAAAUAGGCCGUGAAAUAGGUAUUAAUUUUUAUAUAAGUGGUCUUAAAAGGGACUUAAAAAGACUUGAAUUUGACUUGAACAAAUCUGUAGGAACCCUGUAAUAAAAUAACCUCAAACAGCUAAUG
ensembl:lncRNA